ACACAUGAUUGUAUCAACAGGGGAGGAGCAUACAACUAAACGGACAGAUCGUCAUGAUUAAAUCUUAUGUAUCUACAUAAAAAAAUAACAAACAAAUCAGGCACAAUGAAAACAGCCAACAGAAAGGGGAGACAGUAAACAAUUAAACUACAAAAAAAAAAUAAACUUAAUGAAACACAAACACUUCUAAAGUCUGAAUCACUUCCAGUGGAUCUUUAUGGCUUGGUCAAAG